rnacentral:piRNA from 1 species
UCCUAUCCAAAUCACAGCUCU